UGACAUUCCAGCUCAAGGCAUGUGUUACAUUUUUUUUUCUUUUUUUUUUUUGGUAUAUCCUGCAAUAGAGCAAUUAAAAAAAAAAAAAAAUCUUCCCUUGCGACCCUGCAAGGAGACGCUUGAGGAGUUCCGUGCGCCCGGGCGGACCAUGGCUGAGCUUAAAGUUACUCCAGGCAUCCGUGCACAGCAGGAGAGUUCGACUGUAGCCGGGGAAGGGGCAGGGGCAGGGUCUAACUGUUCACAGUCACGGCUGGAGAUUAUUCGCAGUCAACCGCCCCGAAGGAACUGUGGUCUGGAACUACUUUGGAGAUUUGAAAAAUGAAAAGAAAUGGGAACCCAAGUUACCCAGCCCGCCUCCCCCAUCUCUUUCUGAGUGUACCCACUUAGCAUAGGCAGAAAGGACAACAAUCAAAUGAAAAACAUUUCCAGGGGUGAACCCCAAAGGUCAGUCUCUGGCUUCGCCGGACAAUGGGGGUUGGGCCUCCUCUUCUCCUCCAAAGGGAUGAAGGAGUCUUAAUGAAGAGGCAUUUUCUCCGGCGAAGAUUCUAAACCCCAGCGGGUUCCACAAACUCCGGGGAAGCGAAGCUUCUGGCGCUGGGCGGAGGGAGGGGUGUCGCUCUGCGAAUCGCUGCUCUGGGACCCGGCCCCAGAGCCGCACCCGCGCCCCUCCGCUCCCCGCGCGCGACCCCGCUCGGCCGCACGCUCCCGCGCCCGCGCCCGCGCCCCCGCCCCCGCCGCGCGCACAGCCCGGCCGGCGCGCGCACCCGGCUCACAGGCGCCGCCGCGCUCCGAGCGCUCAGACCGCGGCCGCCGCCGGCCCGCGAGACCGAGUCCUGCACGCCCGACAUGCGCCUCGGCUAGCGACUCCCCGGUCCGCGAGCACCGCGCGUCCUCCCCUCGGUUAUUUCUCUCCUUCUCUCUCUUACACACGCACAGACACACGCGCGCGCGCUCACACGCACAACCUCGCGCCAGUCCAUCCUCUGGAGGAGAAAACAUUUCCUUGGCGCCCCCUCCCUCUCCAUUCAGACCCGCCGAGGAGCCGCGCGGCGGGAACCCCCAGAUCGUCUGGAAAUGCUAAUCCUAAAGCGCUUCCUCGCCUGUAUUCAGCUCCUCUGUGUUUGCCGCCUGGGUCCUAAGUAAGCUUCAUGCAUAGAAAAGACCCCACCGCUCUUUCUUCUUGUACCCAAAUGCAAACUUCUGGAGACCAGAGAGUGUGAAAAGCAUCGAGUGUGUGUGUCCAUGGUAAUCUGCUCGCUGUGUGCAGGAAGUUACAGCAGCAUUAAGCCAUGAAAAGGAUCAAUUGUUUUUGUGAAAAACCCUCAAGAUGUGCCUUGAAUUCAAAGAAUCAAGUUCAUUAAAAUCGUAAACUAUUUAUUAAUCUUUUUUUUUUUCUGAAAUGUCCUCAGUGGUCAGUGGUAUUUUAAAGAGCAAAAUGAAAAAUAUGAUGAAAACCAGAACACAAAAGAUUGUUGAAGACUGUGGAAUGAAAUUCUCAGUGUUUUUCUCUUCCUGACAAGUUUUUAGUGGACACUUGCUAUACUUCUGUGCAUGGAAUGGAAUGUAAUGUGAGAUUGAUAUCUUUCAUUCAUAUAUUUGCUUAUGUGCCAGGCUGGUUUUAUAGAUGAGACCAUCCCAGGGUUUUCUGCUAGGUUUCCCAUAGAUAAUUUGGUGGACAGGGAAUUAAGGGCAACGUGGUACAAGGGGCUGAUUAAGCUACAUUAAUUUUUGUUGGAUGUCCCAGGGAAAUGGGGGUGGGCUUUUCCCCUCUGGGGAGAGACAGCAAGGCCUGCUAUGGCAUCUCAUUAUAUGGCAUACCCACUCCUGCUGACUGGCGGGGCUCCGUCUGAGAUGGGAAGCCGAGUCUAGGCAUGGCAUAACCACCCACUCCCCUGGCCUGGAACACUACCUCAGAUCAGCAGGCGUUCCCCGCACGGCAGGGACAGCUCAUCCUCCAGACAUUGUACUACCUAGAGUUUUCAGGCAGAAAGUGAGUGCUUAGCCUCAGGCUUCUAGCUCAGAUCUUCUUGAGAAAAGCCAAGCAAUGCUCCUUGCUCUCACUCCAGAGAUGCUUCUGGGAAUUCUGCCCUUAUAAGAAACAUGCAUUUAAAUAUGAUAUGAAGCAAAACAUUUCAGUUAGUUGGAAGUACAUAGAUGUCAGCUAAAAGGUUUGUCAAUUUCUCUAAGAUAUUUUUUCUGGGGUUAAAAAUGGUAGUUUAAAAUAACGUAUAUUCCACAUCCGCAUCUCUAUUCCCGCCCUGAAAAUAGGUCCAUGUCUACCAUUUUUCUAGAUUCCAUAUAUAUGUGUUAAUAUACGACACGGAGGGGAGGGGAGGGUGGGACUAAUUGGGGAUUGGGAUUGAC
rnacentral:lncRNA from 1 species